UCCUUCCUCCCAUCCCUUCCCCAACCCCACCUAAACCAAAAUCGGCGACGGUGAAUUACUGGACUGUAGGGGCUCCCUCUGAGAAAAAAACACUGAUUUUGGAGUAAUAGCUAGGCAGCUGGCGACAAAUUGAUUAAGAAUAUUGCUUCUCCGCCACUCCUGCUUUAGGCAUUACCACUGGUAUUCAAAUUAGGCUGCUGAUAGUGUUUAGACUAGCCGGUGUUGUCACCAAGGCCUAGUGGAAGUGGAGGACUAGUGCUUGUGCUCGAAUAUGGGCUUGUUC
rnacentral:lncRNA from 1 species